GUGCUUUAUACAAGUUGAUUUGACUGGGAAAAAAAAUUAGCACCGGGGAAAUGUUGUGCUAAAAAUCCAAUUAUUUUGGACAAGAACAAUUUUAAUCCUCCAUGCACAUAAAUAAAGGAUUGAUUAUAAAAGUGUUCCAAUCAUCCGCAAAUCAAGAAGACUGACACCAUGAUUGAAACCUUCCUUAUCAAUUCACAACAAAGACGUUUGUUCAAAAUCUUUAAUCAAAUCACCAAUCACAUGCACUGUUAGAACUGUGGAGAGAAACCCUCAAGAACCAGCAUGAUAACAGUUAAGGCAGAGAUUACACGAUAAAAGAACAUUCAAUUUAUGCUAUGAUUAUUAUGCUUUAAUUUGAUUUGCCCACAUUUUUUUUUUUUUAGAAAAGCCUUAAUUUGUGAUUCUGUAUUGUAAUGUUAGAGGGUAUAGGAAACAGCCUUACGUGAAGAUCACUAUUAAUCGGCUCCACUAUAAUUAUACAUGUUUGUUUCUUUCAAGCCCAAAUACCCAAAAUUGAGGUUGAAAUUUUAACAGGAUAUCUUUGAACAACAAAUUUCAGAAAAGAAAAAAGAUCUAAAAUGAGCACAGCAUCAUAUUCACACAUGGUUUCCAUAUGAAGGUUAAAAUUUACUCGGAAAACAGUAUGAGACAAAUGAG